UACGAAGGGGGCUAGCGUUGUUCGGAUUUACUGGGCGUAAAGCGCACGUAGGCGGAUCGAUCAGUCAGGGGUGAAAUCCCAGAGCUCAACUCUGGAACUGCCUUUGAUACUGUCGAUCUGGAGUAUGGAAGAGGUGAGUGGAAUUCCGAGUGUAGAGGUGAAAUUCGUAGAUAUUCGGAGGAACACCAGUGGCGAAGGCGGCUCACUGGUCCGGUACUGACGCUGAGGUGCGAAAGCGUGGGAGCAACAGG
rnacentral:rRNA from 1 species